CGAAAGGGUGCUCCUUCGCAAGGCAAAUACAGGUCUCGACAACCACUAUUUUCCCAGCUCAGAGCACCCUUUCCCUGUUUAAACACACACUCUCAG
rnacentral:sRNA from 1 species